GACGAACGCUGGCGGCGUGCUUAACACAUGCAAGUCGAACGGAAAGGCCCUUCGGGGGACUCGAGUGGCGAACGGGGGGGUAACACGUGGGGGAUCUGCCCUGCACUUUGGGAUAAGCCUGGGAAACUGGGUCUAAUACCGGAUAGGACCACGGCAUUCAUGUGCUGUGGGGGAAAGCUUUUGCGGUGUGGGAUGGGCCCGCGGCCUAUCAGCUUGUUGGUGGGGUAAUGGCCUACCAAGGCGACGACGGGUAGCCGGCCUGAGAGGGUGACCGGCCACACUGGGACUGAGAUACGGCCCAGACUCCUACGGGAGGCAGCAGUGGGGAAUAUUGCACAAUGGGCGCAAGCCUGAUGCAGCGACGCCGCGUGAGGGAUGACGGCCUUCGGGUUGUAAACCUCUUUCGCCAGGGACGAAGCGCAAGUGACGGUACCUGGAGAAGAAGGACCGGCCAACUACGUG
rnacentral:rRNA from 1 species